GAACAGGAUUAGAUACCCUGGUAGUCCACGCCGUAAACGGUGGGUGCUAGUUGUGGGUCACAUUCCACGUGAUCCGUGACGAAGUUAACACAUUAAGCACCCCGCCUGGGGAGUACGGUCGCAAGACUAAAACUCAAAGGAAUUGACGGGGGCCCGCACAAGCGGCGGAGCAUGCGGAUUAAUUCGAUGCAACGCGAAGAACCUUACCAAGGCUUGACAUAUACAGGAAAAGCGUAGAAAUACGCUCCCCGCAAGGUCUGUAUACAGGUGGUGCAUGGUUGUCGUCAGCUCGUGUCGUGAGAUGUUGGGUUAAGUCCCGCAACGAGCGCAACCCUCGUCCUAUGUUGCCAGCACGUAAUGGUGGGAACUCAUGGGAGACUGCCGGGGUCAACUCGGAGGAAGGUGGGGAUGACGUCAAAUCAUCAUGCCCCUUAUGUCUUGGGCUUCACGCAUGCUACAAUGGCCAGUACAAAGGGCUGCGAUACCGUAAGGUGGAGCGAAUCCCAUAAAGCUGGUCUCAGUUCGGAUUGAGGUCUGCAACUCGACCUCAUGAAGUCGGAGUCGCUAGUAAUCGUAGAUCAGCAACGCUACGGUGAAUACGUUCCCGGGCCUUGUACACACCGCCCGUCAAGUCACGAAAGUCGGUAACACCCGAAGCC
rnacentral:rRNA from 1 species